AUGGAUUCCACCGAUUUUGGGCUUUUUUUUGGUGCUACAUCACCUACACUUGCAGAUAAAUUUGAUAUUGCUGAAGAUAUAGAAGAAAGUGACAACGAAGUUGAUGAUGGAAGUGGUGCAAGAGGUGGUGAUGAUGAUGAUGAUGAUGGCGGCGGUGGUAGUGGUGGUGAUGAAUCAUUGUUGUCAGAAUCGCAAUCAAAAUCGUGA